AUUGAACGCUGGCGGCAUGCCUUACACAUGCAAGUCGAACGGCAGCGCGGGGCAACCUGGCGGCGAGUGGCGAACGGGUGAGUAACAUAUCGGAACAUACCCUAGAGUGGGGGAUAACGUAGCGAAAGUUACGCUAAUACCGCAUACGCACUAAGGUGGAAAGUGGGGGAUUCGCAAGAACCUCAUGCUCAUGGAGUGGCCGAUAUCUGAUUAGCUAGUUGGUGAGGUAAAGGCUCACCAAGGCGACGAUCAGUAGCUGGUUUGAGAGAACGACCAGCCACACUGGAACUGAGACACGGUCCAGACUCCUACGGGAGGCAGCAGUGGGGAAUUUUGGACAAUGGGGGCAACCCUGAUCCAGCAAUGCCGCGUGAGUGAAGAAGGCC
rnacentral:rRNA from 1 species